AUUGAACGCUGGCGGCAUGCCUUACACAUGCAAGUCGAACGGCAGCACGGGUGCUUGCACCUGGUGGCGAGUGGCGAACGGGUGAGAAAUACAUCGGAACAUGUCCUGUAGUGGGGGAUAGCCCGGCGAAAGCCGGAUUAAUACCGCAUACGAUCUACGGAUGAAAGCGGGGGCCCUUCGGGCCUCGCGCUAUAGGGUUGGCCGAUGGCUGAUUAGCUAGUUGGUGGGGUAAAGGCCUACCAAGGCGACGAUCAGUAGCUGGUCUGAGAGGACGACCAGCCACACUGGGACUGAGACACGGCCCAGACUCCUACGGGAGGCAGCAGUGGGGAAUUUUGGACAAUGGGCGAAAGCCUGAUCCAGCAAUGCCGCGUGUGUGAAGAAGGCCUUCGGGUUGUAAAGCACUUUUGUCCGGAAAGAAAUCCUUGGCCCUAAUACGGUCGGGGGAUGACGGUACCGGAAGAAUAAGCACCGGCUAACUACGUG
rnacentral:rRNA from 1 species